rnacentral:rRNA from 1 species
AGAGUUUGAUCAUGGCUCAGAACGAACGCUGGCGGCGUGGAUAAGACAUGCAAGUCGAACGGGAUUCUAUUUGUAGCAAUACACGUAAAGUCUAGUGGCGUAAGGGUGCGUAACACGUGGGGAAUCUGCCGAGAAGUGGGGGGAUAGCUCGCCGAAAGGCGAAUUAAUACCGCAUGUGGUUAGUGAAGACAUCUUCACGGUACCAAAGCCGGGGCAACCUGGCGCUUCUUGAUGACCCCGCGGCCUAUCAGCUAGUUGGUGAGGUAACGGCUCACCAAGGCUAUGACGGGUAGCUGGUCUGAGAGGACGACCAGCCACACUGGAACUGAGACACGGUCCAGACACCUACGGGUGGCAGCAGUCGAGAAUUUUUCUCAAUGGGGGAAACCCUGAAGGAGCGACGCCGCGUGGAGGAUGAAGGUCUUCGGAUUGUAAACUCCUGUCAUUUGGGAACAAUUGUCACCGGUUAACUGCCGGGGGCUUGAUAGUACCAGAAGAGGAAGAGACGGCUAACUCUGUGCCAGCAGCCGCGGUAAUACAGAGGUCUCAAGCGUUGUUCGGAUUCAUUGGGCGUAAAGGGUGCGUAGGUGGCGCCGUAAGUCAGGUGUGAAAUCUCGGGGCUCAACCCCGAAACUGCACUUGAUACUGCGGUGCUCGAGUACUGGAGAGGAGAUUGGAAUUUACGGUGUAGCAGUGAAAUGCGUAGAUAUCGUAAGGAAGACCAGUGGCGAAGGCGAAUCUCUGGACAGUUACUGACACUGAGGCACGAAGGCCAGGGGAGCAAACGGGAUUAGAUACCCUAGUAGUCC